GCACGAGCGCACCCUUGCCCUAUGUUGCCAGCGGAUAAUGCCGGGGACUCAUGGGGAACUGCCGGUGAUAAACCGGAGGAAGGUGGGGACGACGUCAAGUCAUCAUGGCCCUUACGCCCAGGGCUACACACGUGCUACAAUGGCCGGUACAAAGGGCUGCCAACCCGCGAGGGUGAGCGAAUCCCAAAAAGCCGGUCUAAGUUCGGAUUGUAGUCUGCAACUCGACUGCAUGAAGUCGGAAUCGCUAGUAAUCGUGUAUCAGCAACGAUACGGUGAAUACGUUCCCGGGCCUUGUACACACCGCCCGUCAAGCCAUGGAAGCCGGGAGUGCCCGUAGUCUGUGACCCAACCUAGUGAGGGAGCAGCCGAAGGUAAGUUCGGUGACUGGGGCUAAGUCGUAACAAGGUAGCCGCAGGGGAACCUGCGGCUGGAUCACCUCCUUU
rnacentral:rRNA from 1 species